AUAUUUCAUUUUUAAUAUGAUAAGACGAAGAAUAGCGUCCAUAAUAUCUGUGAACAUUAACAUAAUGCGUUUAUGCAGGUAUAUAUAUUGACUGUCGCCACUACACCCUGCAUCAGUCGCUAGCCAUUACAGUGCUUCACAGUCUUCACGCAAAUUGCUACACAAAAUGAUGUCUCGCACAACCUUAAUACUACUCCUUAUCUGUUUUGUGUGCGUCGCCGAGAUUACAAAUGGACACAUCAUUGAUGUACCACCUAGAACUAAAUGUGGACAGAAAGGAAAACCUUGUCAGAGCAAUUCAGUAUGCUGCAGUAAGCAAUGUUUGCCCACAAUUAAUAGAUGCAGUUCUUAAAUAAAUUUGUUUGAAAUGAAUCAAACAUUAUACUAUUUCAUUAUUUUACGAAUUGGGUGGAAGGCUUAAGAUUGGAUAAGUCAGAAGGGAUUGGUAAAUAUUGUUUAUUUUUCGCACCAAAUAUAAAUGUAGAAUAAUACAAAAAUAGGUUAAGUUUUAUUUAUUAUAUAAUAAUUUUACACAGUUAAUACAAUAAAGUGAAAUAAAAAAACCCUUGUGUAUUUACUGAAAUCAAACUU
rnacentral:misc_RNA from 1 species